rnacentral:rRNA from 1 species
GGGGGAUAUUGCGCAAUGGGGGCAACCCUGACGCAGCAACGCCGCGUGAAGGAUGAAGGUUUUCGGAUUGUAAACUUCUUUUAUUAAGGACGAAAAAUGACGGUACUUAAUGAAUAAGCUCCGGCUAACUACGUGCCAGCAGCCGCGGUAAUACGUAGGGAGCAAGCGUUGUCCGGAUUUACUGGGUGUAAAGGGUGCGUAGGCGGCUUUGCAAGUCAGAUGUGAAAUCUAUGGGCUCAACCCAUAAACUGCAUUUGAAACUGUAGAGCUUGAGUGAAGUAGAGGCAGGCGGAAUUCCCCGUGUAGCGGUGAAAUGCGUAGAGAUGGGGAGGAACACCAGUGGCGAAGGCGGCCUGCUGGGCUUUAACUGACGCUGAGGCACGAAAGCGUGGGUAGCAAACAGGAUUAGAUACCCUGGUAGUCCACGCUGUAAACGAUGAUUACUAGGUGUGGGGGGUCUGACCCCUUCCGUGCCGGAGUUAACACAAUAGGUAAUCCACCUGGGGAGUACGGCCGCAAGGUUGAAACUCAAAGGAAUUGACGGGGGCCCGCACAAGCAGUGGAGUAUGUGGUUUAAUUCGAAGCAACGCGAAGAACCUUACCAGGUCUUGACAUCCAACUAACGAAGUAGAGAUACAUUAGGUGCCCUUCGGGGAAAGUUGAGACAGGUGGUGCAUGGUUGUCGUCAGCUCGUGUCGUGAGAUGUUGGGUUAAGUCCCGCAACGAGCGCAACCCUUGCUAUUAGUUGCUACGCAAGAGCACUCUAAUAGGACUGCCGUUGACAAAACGGAGGAAGGUGGGGACGACGUCAAAUCAUCAUGCCCCUUAUGACCUGGGCUACACACGUACUAUAAUGGAUGUUAACAGAGGGAAGCAAGACAGCGAUGUGGAGCAAACCCCUAAAAACAUUCUCAGUUCAGAUUGCAGGCUGCAACCCGCCUGCAUGAAGAUGGAAUUGCUAGUAAUCGCGGAUCAGCAUGCCGCGGUGAAUACGUUCCCG